UACGUAGGGGGCAAGCGUUGUCCGGAAUCAUUGGGCGUAAAGCGCGUGUAGGCGGCUCGAUAAGUCCGCUGUGAAAGUCCAGGGCUCAACCCUGGAAUGCCGGUGGAUACUGUCGGGCUAGAGUGCGGAAGAGGCGAGUGGAAUUCCUGGUGUAGCGGUAAAGUGACGCAGACUAUCAGGAGGAACACCAAUUGCGAAGGCAGCUCGCUGGGACGUCACUGACGCUGAGACGCGAAAGCGUGGGGAGCAAACAGG
rnacentral:rRNA from 1 species